rnacentral:rRNA from 1 species
UACGUAGGGUGCGAGCGUUGCCCGGAUUUAUUGGGCGUAAAGGGCGCGUAGGCGGCCACGCACGUCCGUUGUGAAAUCGCCCGGCUCAACUGGGCGGGGUCAGCGGAUACGGUGUGGCUCGAGCAAGCUAGGGGGCAAUGGAAUUCCCGGUGUAGUGGUGGACUGCGUAGAUAUCGGGAGGAACACCAGUGGCGAAGGCGGUUGCCUGGAGCUUUGCUGACGCUGAGGCGCGAAAGCGUGGGGAGCGAACAGG